AUGAUCCAAUAUGAAGAGCAGGAGAGAACUGAGCAGAAUCUUGGUGACGUGUGGGUAAAGAGGCGAGCGUCUGGCCGCGCUGCUGGUCACCCGCGCGGCCGCGGCCUUCUUCCUGGACGGUGGGGCCAGGGACCUGCUUCGGGACCUGCACGAGGCCUUCCGCCAGAGCCCCUCGGGCGCGCGGAGGCAGUUCAAGGCGGUGCUCUCCGCUGGGGACCGAGAGCGCAUACGGGCCCAGGCGCAGGAGGCGGCGGACACGGGCUUCGCCCGCUUCCAGGAGGCCGUGCGGAGCCGCGCUGAGCUGCGCGAAAACUCGGGCCGCGAGCUGUUGGCCCCGGUGACCCGCGCGCUCCGUGUCCUGCUGCGCAUUGCGCCGCCUGGAGCCCGCCCGGCGCUGGGCGCUCGCCUGGCUGAGUGCCUCCUGCUGGC
rnacentral:lncRNA from 1 species